rnacentral:rRNA from 1 species
UACGUAGGGUCCGAGCGUUGUCCGGAUUUAUUGGGCGUAAAGAGCUCGUAGGUGGUUCGCUAAGUCGGAUGUGAAAACUCGAGGCUCAACCUCGAGACGUCGGCGGAAACCAUCUGGCUAGAGUCCGGAAGAGGAGAGUGGAAUUCCUGGUGUAGCGGUGAAAUGCGCAGAUAUCAGGAAGAACACCCGUGGCGAAGGCGGCUCUCUGGGACGGUACUGACGCUGAGACGCGAAAGCGUGGGGAGCGAACAGG